CUGCCGAGGGCUCGGCUGGCUUCAGACAAGUGGGACGGAGAUGAAGAGCGGCGUACAGGCCCUUUAAGAAGGAAUUGGCAAAGGAAGAGCUCAGUAUUUAAAUUUAGUGCAGACGAAGAGGGAAAAAAUUCCCUGCAGCAUCUGGUUUAUAUUACCGCUCUCUGCUUUGGUGGAGGGCGUGUUUACAGUGAAGCUCUCGGGGCUCUCCAGCAGCGCUCACUGUCCUGGCUGCUUCCCAUCUUGCUCAGCCUACAACUGGAGACAAGCAGUCCCUUGGUUAGGAGUUUAUGCAGCCGUGUGAGCAGUGGCUACCUACAGAGGCUAUAAAACUGCUGAUGCGUCCGUGUUCUGGCUGCUGCAGUGGUUUGAGGAGGGCCAGUUACUUCUGACUUGGGCUGAAGGCAAGGUUCGUGCUCAGCGUGGGAGGUGGAAGGAGCAGGAGGAUGACUGGGUUUUAGCUGUGGUGGAAUUUCUUGUCUGUGUGUGUGUGUGUAUUUUCUCUAUUGAAGUGUGGUUUGUGGUCUCGGAGGAGUUUCAGCAGAGCCAAGCUCCGAAAGGAAGCCUGAACGUAGCAGCAUUAGCUGGGCGAGCUGCUUGUCAGAAGGGAGGAGAGGUCUGCGCAGGUCUGUGGUAACCCAUGCGGAUGCUGCCUUCCACCAGGAGCUUGCACAUCGUGCAGCGCAUCUCCUGAGGGCUGCCUGCCCCUCCGGUCCUGUCUUCUGGAGAAGUACAGUUGUCGGACUCAGCACAUAGCUCCUCUGCUCCGUUUGGCAGGGAGGUGAAAAAUUCUCCCAAAUUCUUACUGAAAUGCUGCGUUCAGUAAUCGUAUAAAUGUAUCGUGAAAGUUCAUCGUGUUCAAGGACAAAAUAAAUACAUAUUUUUAGACC